rnacentral:lncRNA from 1 species
UGAAUUUCAGAUUUUGUGAUGAAUUGGGAGAUUUAAAUCUCCAUUGUUAAACUCUUAUUUACUUUCAAUAUUUAUGCAAUUUGAGCUUUCCAUAAUUAUUACUUUGCUUUUAGAAUCAAUAAGGGCCCAUUGCUUUUAAAUUGCUUAAGUAAUAUUGUUUGAAUGAUUUAGGUCCGUAAUUGCUUAGGUUGUUCAAAUACACAUUUAAUCAAAUUGCAUAAUCUAAACUUGACCAUGCGGUUGGCAAGGAUAGAAUUGGAUUUCUCUAAGUCUUAAUGCAGUCAGCAGUUGUUCAAUGCUACAAUGCCCCAAGGACGUUCCUUGGCAACUUGUUGAUUAGUGUUUGAUUAGCGAACGUUUCCUAAUCAAACUAGAACUAAGGAGGAAUUUGGUUGUGAGAAGCGUCUUCCAUAACCAAAACCAAUUUAUUG